rnacentral:lncRNA from 1 species
AAGAGGUAAACCCUGAAACAAUAGCAUUACCUACACACACAAAAAUCUUCCUUUUUGUUUCUUCCUUUUCUAAGAAUUUAAAUUUUAAAUUUAUUGUUCCGUAAAAUGGUACGUAGGGGUAAAAAAAGAUAAUAAUUAAUGGUAUGCACAUUAAUACUUGUCAAAAGAAAAAAGGAAUAUAAACACUGCCAAGAGGACUAUAGAUCUGCAUACAAAAUCUAUUUCAUCAUUUUUUGUUUUUUACUGUGAAGAAGUAUCCACAUAAGGAACACCUACUGCCAACAGGACUGGAAAAAGAUACUUUUAGCCCUUCUAAUCAGCCAAAGAAAUGAAUUCUGCUUCUCUUCAUCUUUUCCCCCUUUAGUUCCAAAAGAAAUGGUUACAGAAAACCAAUUUGACUUUCAACCUUCUGCCUAUUGCAAGUGGCAAAGGCAGCAAUUUUUCACAUUUUCAAUUACACAAGAGUACCUCAUAAACUCCUGAUUCGCUAACAAUAACCAAGUAUUUUCACAUACACUUCACAUAGGCUAGUUUAAGAAAUGCAAGGAGAAGUUAAACAAUUAAAACAGCCGGAUAAACAAAUUACUUACACGCUUGACAAAUGGCAUCAUAAGACCAAAGAGAGCCCCAUCACAGUGGAUAUAAAACCGAUCCUGUGAAAACCCGCACUCUUCAAGGGUUUUUAUGACAAGAUCAAGAUCAAUCACAGUGGAUAUAAAACCGAUCUUGUGAAAACCCACACUCUUCAAGGGUUUUUAUGACAAGAUCAAGAUCAUCGACGGCUCCUUUCACAGUAGUUCCUGUCAACCAAAAAAGAUGGCACAUUAGGCAGCUACACGGUUGCUGCAUUUAGGGAAUAUCUCAGACAGUGAAAGGGUAAAAGAGUACCGAUGUUGACAUUGAGGAUUGCAGGUUUGUCCUUGUUUGCUAGUAGGUUAACUUUCAAGUCUGCACAAUCUAUUUCACCAGUUAGAAGAGUGCCAACCUUCACACAUUCCAUUCUAUACAUUCGUGCUGCUUUAAAAACAGAAUAAUGAGACUCCUUCGAAGCAUACGGUUUGUCUUUGUUUGCUUGUAGCUUAACUUUUAAGUCUGCACAAUCUAUUUCACCAGUUAGUAGAGUGUCAACCUUCACACAUUCCAUUCUAUACAUUCGUGCUGCUUUAAAAACAGAAUA